rnacentral:rRNA from 1 species
GACGUAGGGCGCGAGCGUUGUCCGGAUUUAUUGGGCGUAAAGAGCUCGUAGGCGGCUUGUCGCGUCGUUCGUGAAAACCUGCAGCUCAACUGCAGGCUUGCGGUCGAUACGGGCAGGCUAGAGUUCGGUAGGGGGAGACUGGAAUUCCUGGUGUAGCGGUGAAAUGCGCAGAUAUCAGGAGGAACACCGGUGGCGAAGGCGGGUC